AAAAAUAGGGCUUUCCCUUCUUU
rnacentral:rRNA from 1 species